AACAUCUGAUGCGCAGUGACAGCUGGCCCACUUCCAGGGGAGGGAAGACGAAAUCAGAGGGAAAAUCACCCAUAGGUACUUUUGUGGUCAGCUGUGGAGCGGCUUAGGCAAUUGAUUCACUGGAGAGGUUGUCUGCUGCUCAGCAUUGGGACCACGAGUAUCGAUUUCUUGCUCUGAUCAAAUCUCUUAACCAUUUCCAGCCGGAAGAUGGUCUCGUCCAAAGCUCCAUGUACGAUAAAAUUGCAUUUCUAUAAAGUGCCCUUUCAAGUGAAGACAGG